rnacentral:lncRNA from 1 species
ACUGCUCCACUCCCUGUGACGGAUCCCACGCCCACGCGACUCCAUUACUACCUGACCAGCCACGAUAAACGGCCACGAUCCUGCUCCACCUCCUGCAACGGAUACUGCGCGAUUCUCCCAUCCACUGGCAAGUCACGACGACAAACGCCGCCCCACUUCAUGCGGCAGACUCCACGUGGUACGCCCCAGCGAUAGCCACGGGUCCGUUCCACUACGCUUCGCAGCAAACUCCGCCUGACCCUGGGCAGUCCACUGCCAGACGGUUACAAACGUCGCCAUCAAUCCGUUGCUUCCCCCGCCUAUAAAAGGGGACCUAGAUACGUUAUUCGAUAAGCUCAUUUCUUAUCUCAAAACUCUGCAAAAUUCUUCGUUCGAGAACUCCAUUCUUGUUGAGGCAGAGAACUGACUUGAGCGUCGGAGGGUCUUGCCGGAGCAACCCCACCUCCGGUUUAGACUUCCUUUGCAGGUCUCGGCGGCGACCGCGGCUUCCCCAACUCCAGCUUCUCCGAUGCAAGCAGAUUUUUGCACCAACAGGAUUGGCGCUAGAGGAAGGGCUUGAACCCUCGCAGUACCCUUGUUCUUAAAGGAGUGUUCAACGGAGCCGCCUCCGAUCGUCUCUCCGACACCCACUCCUAAUUUUCCCCCACGAGAUCCACGCUCGAUGCCUCC